GGGCUACACACGUGCUACAAUGGCGGUGACAGUGGGCAGCAAGCACGCGAGUGUGAGCUAAUCUCCAAAAGCCGUCUCAGUUCGGAUUGUUCUCUGCAACUCGAGAGCAUGAAGGCGGAAUCGCUAGUAAUCGCGGAUCAGCAUGCCGCGGUGAAU
rnacentral:rRNA from 1 species